GCGAACGGGUGAGUAACACGUGAGUAACCUGCCCUUGACUCUGGGAUAAGCCUGGGAAACUGGGUCUAAUACCGGAUACGACUAUCUGACGCAUGUCAUGGUGGUGGAAAGCUUUUGCGGUUUUGGAUGGACUCGCGGCCUAUCAGCUUGUUGGUGGGGUAAUGGCCUACCAAGGCGACGACGGGUAGCCGGCCUGAGAGGGUGACCGGCCACACUGGGACUGAGACACGGCCCAGACUCCUACGGGAGGCAGCAGUGGGGAAUAUUGCACAAUGGGCGAAAGCCUGAUGCAGCGACGCCGCGUGAGGGAUGACGGCCUUCGGGUUGUAAACCUCUUUCAGUAGGGAAGAAGCGAAAGUGACGGUACCUGCAGAAGAAGCGCCGGCUAACUACGUGCCAGCAGCCGCGGUAAUACGUAGGGCGCAAGCGUUAUCCGGAAUUAUUGGGCGUAAAGAGCUCGUAGGCGGUUUGUCGCGUCUGCUGUGAAAGACCGGGGCUCAACUCCGGUUCUGCAGUGGGUACGGGCAGACUAGAGUGCAGUAGGGGAGACUGGAAUUCCUGGUGUAGCGGUGAAAUGCGCAGAUAUCAGGAGGAACACCGAUGGCGAAGGCAGGUCUCUGGGCUGUAACUGACGCUGAGGAGCGAAAGCAUGGGGAGCGAACAGGAUUAGAUACCCUGGUAGUCCAUGCCGUAAACGUUGGGCACUAGGUGUGGGGGACAUUCCACGUUUUCCGCGCCGUAGCUAACGCAUUAAGUGCCCCGCCUGGGGAGUACGGCCGCAAGGCUAAAACUCAAAGGAAUUGACGGGGGCCCGCACAAGCGGCGGAGCAUGCGGAUUAAUUCGAUGCAACGCGAAGAACCUUACCAAGGCUUGACAUGAACCGGAAAGACCUGGAAACAGGUGCCCCGCUUGCGGUCGGUUUACAGGUGGUGCAUGGUUGUCGUCAGCUCGUGUCGUGAGAUGUUGGGUUAAGUCCCGCAACGAGCGCAACCCUCGUUCUAUGUUGCCAGCGCGUUAUGGCGGGGACUCAUAGGAGACUGCCGGGGUCAACUCGGAGGAAGGUGGGGACGACGUCAAAUCAUCAUGCCCCUUAUGUCUUGGGCUUCACGCAUGCUACAAUGGCCGGUACAAAGGGUUGCGAUACUGUGAGGUGGAGCUAAUCCCAAAAAGCCGGUCUCAGUUCGGAUUGGGGUCUGCAACUCGACCCCAUGAAGUCGGAGUCGCUAGUAAUCGCAGAUCAGCAACGCUGCGGUGAAUACGUUCCCGGGCCUUGUACACACCGCCCGUCAAGUCACGAAAGUUGGUAACAC
rnacentral:rRNA from 1 species